rnacentral:rRNA from 1 species
CCUACGGGUGGCAGCAGUGGGGAAUAUUGGGCAAUGGAGGAAACUCUGACCCAGCGACGCCGCGUGCGGGAUGAAGGCCUUCGGGUUGUAAACCGCUUUCAGCAGGGAAUAAGCGAAAGUGAAGGUACCUGCAGAAGAAGCACCGGCUAACUAUGUGCCAGCAGCCGCGGUAAUACAUAGGGUGCAAGCGUUGUCCGGAAUUAUUGGGCGUAAAGAGCUCGUAGGUGGUUUGUUACGUCGGAUGUGAAAUGCAGGGGCUCAACCCCUGACUUGCAUCCGAUACGGGCAAGCUAGAGUUUGGUAGGGGAGACUGGAAUUCCUGGUGUAGCGGUGGAAUGCGCAGAUAUCAGGAGGAACACCGAUGGCGAAGGCAGGUCUCUGGGCCAAUACUGACACUGAGGAGCGAAAGCGUGGGGAGCGAACAGGAUUAGAUACCCCUGUAGUC